rnacentral:rRNA from 1 species
UACGUGGGGGGCAAGCGUUGUCCGGAUUUAUUGGGCGUAAAGAGCGUGUAGGCGGCUUUACAGGUCCGUUGUGAAAACUCGAGGCUCAACCUCGAGACGCCGGUGGAAACCGUAAAGCUAGAGUCCGGAAGAGGAGAGUGGAAUUCCUGGUGUAGCGGUGAAAUGCGCAGAUAUCAGGAAGAACACCGGUGGCGAAGGCGGGUCUCUGGGCCGAUACUGACGCUGAGGAGCGAAAGCGUGGGGAGCGAACAGG